ACUCCUACGGGAGGCAGCAGUGGGGAAUAUUGCACAAUGGGGGAAACCCUGAUGCAGCCAUGCCGCGUGUGUGAAGAAGGCCUUCGGGUUGUAAAGCACUUUCAGUAGGGAGGAAGGUAGUGUAGUUAACACCUGCAUUAUUUGACGUUACCUACAGAAGAAGCACCGGCUAACUCCGUGCCAGCAGCCGCGGUAAGUACGGAGGGUGCGAGCGUUAAUCGGAAUUACUGGGCGUAAAGCGCAUGCAGGCGGCUUGUUAAGUCAGAUGUGAAAGCCCGGGGCUUAACCGUCGGAAUUGCAUUUGAAACUGGCAGGCUAGAGUCUUGUAGAGGGGUUAGAAUUUCAGGUGUAGCGGUGAAAUGCGUAGAGAUCUGAAGGAAUACCAGUGGCGAAGGCGGCCCCUGGACAAAGACUGACGCUCAGAUGCGAAAGCGUGGGAGCAAACAGGAUUAGAUACCCCUGGUAGACUGUACA
rnacentral:rRNA from 1 species